ACGCUCGACACCUACGGGGGGCAGCAGUGGGGAAUAUUGCACAAUGGGGGAAACCCUGAUGCAGCAACGCCGCGUGAAGGAAGAAGGUUUUCGGAUCGUAAACUUCUAUCAAUAGGGACGAAAGAAAUGACGGUACCUAAAUAAGAAGCCCCGGCUAACUACGUGCCAGCAGCCGCGGUAAUCUGAGCGGGCUGGCAAGGC
rnacentral:rRNA from 1 species